rnacentral:rRNA from 1 species
UCAGAAUGAACGUUGGCGGCGUGGAUUAGGCAUGCAAGUCGUACGCAUAGCUUCGGCUAUGAGUGGCGCAAGGGUGAGUAAUGCGAAGGUAACCAACCCUGGUGUUGGGCAUAGCCGCGGGAAACUGCGGGUAAUUCCCAGCGACGUCACGAGAUGGCAUCAUCUUGUGACCAAAGGUGUGAUUCCGCUCUAGGACGGGCCUUCGUGGUAUUAGGUAGUUGGUGAGGUAACGGCUCACCAAGCCGACGAUGCCUACCGGGUGUGAGAGCAUGACCCGGCACACUGGAACUGAGACACUGUCCAGACACCUACGGGUGGCUGCAGUCGAGAAUCUUCGGCAAUGGGCGAAAGCCUGACCGAGCGACGCCGCGUGAGGGAUUGAAGGCCUUCGGGUUGUAAACCUCUUUCGUAGAGGAGGAAGGGGCCGUGAAGAACGGUCUUUGACCUAUUCUAGGAAGAAGCUUGGGCUAAGUUCGUG